UUCGUCUGGGGUGCCUGAAAGGGCUGAGAUUAAACCCAUCGAACCUGAUGCAGUUUGUACUGCCGAAGGAAGAGCG
rnacentral:ncRNA from 1 species